rnacentral:tRNA from 1 species
GCCUUCGUGGUGUAAUUAGCAGCACACUCGCCUCGUAUUCGAGAGGUCCGAGGUUCGAGUGCCGGCGAAGGCA